GGAUGCGAUCAUACCAGCACUAACACAUCGGAUUCCAUCAGAACUCCGAAGUUAAGUGUGCUUAGGCGAAAAUAGUCCUAGGCUGGGUGACCCUCUGGGAAGUCCCCGUGUUGUAUCCC
rnacentral:rRNA from 1 species